CAGCAUGUGAAAGGUGUCCUUACCUGUCCUGAGAUGAAUUGAGUCCUGUUUUGAGAGUCAAAUGUGCACUUCAUUACCUGUUGCUCCAUGUGGGUGGAGCAGGUGUUUGUCAGAAUGCAGGAUGCGUCCGUAGCCUAUGUGGGUAAUGAGACGUACAGCGUUGAUUUAAGUGCGUUUUGUUUCAUUCCUGCUUCUUUGUUUUGUUUUUGCAGUUCCUGGUGAAGUUUCACGAAGCUGUCCUCAACCUUGAGAUGUGCGGUCAUCUCAGCAUGGGAAAGUUACUUUUCAAGGGUAAAGCCUUUGUUUCAGUGUACUGGGCUCUGAUGGCGAUGUCCAUUACUGCAGAGCAAGAGUAUUUCCCUCGCUCGAGAAAUGUCACCUGGGACGAGGCCAGGGAACACUGCCAGGCCUGUUACGAAGACCUGGUGACACUGACUCCUGGAAACAUCCAAACCAUCACUCAGAAACUCACUUCUGACUACUGGGUGGGCCUGCGCAAGAACUUCUACUCCACCGGCGACCCCAGUAUGUCCUGGACCUACUGGGCUAACGGGGAUCCCCUCACCUUCCAGAACUGGUACCCUGGUUGGCCCAUGUUAAAUCCCUCCCUCCCAAAUCGAGACUACAGCUGCCGCUGCUCCUGCACCUCCACCUCCCCGACAGCCCGCAGCUCCAACACUUUCACAGAGUUCACAACCCCAAACGUGAGUGAAAAUGCGUUCCAGAACUGGACGCACAUGAGCAGCUUCUCCAACGUCACAGACCAAGCCAUGACAGGCGCUACCGGAAUCGGGGAAUCCAGCACCCCAUCGACCACAGCUGCACUCUUUACAGACAGGCUGUGUGAAGCAUCAUGUGUGCCAGAUGUCCCAGACACCAUUGAGAACUAUAUUGAAGACUCUUGUGUGGUCAUGCUCAGCUUUGGGGCUUGGAUAGAAAAGAACUGCUUGGAGCUUCUACCGUUUAUAUGUUAUGAAGAACGUUUCUUUGGUCAAGUCAACGUGACCAACGUGACUUCAAGCAGUGCCAACGUCACAUGGCUAGAGGGGCCUGGCAACAUCAGCCAUUACCGUCUGGAGGUCAAAAGUUACCAAGAACCGAUCAUAAAUCUGACCGAUUUGACCUACAGCCUUGUCAACCUGACGGCAGGCACCCACUACUCGAUCCAGGUGUUCCCUGUUAAGUGUGAGAGAGACCUCAACCCGCAGGAGGUCGCCUUCUAUACCAUACCUAACAAAGUUGAAAACCUCACAGUCACAGAGUGUACCGACGUUUCCAUCUCCCUGGCCUGGAACAGAUCAGCUGGAAAUGUGGAUUUCUAUCUUAUUAAGGUCCAGGGUGAAGAGAAGAUUCGUAACACGGAGGACAUAAAGGUCGGCAAUUUGACAUCUGGAAGCCGUUACAAAUUCACCGUCCUCUCAGGAGUCGGGAACAAUUCGAUAUAUAGCGAAGAGUCGAGCAUCGAAGGUCACACCAAGCCUGGGAAAGCAUCCAACCUGACAGUCUCUAACAAUACCAAUGACUCGCUGCUGCUUACCUGGCAGCCACCACCUGGACUGACCACAGGUUACGUGGUGACGGCUGUGAAUGACAGUGAUCAGACGUUGUUUACUGAAACGUUGAACCACACUGAAGUGAAAGUGACCGGGCUGCCGAUGGGCACCCGGAUAACCCUCAGUGUGGCAGCACUGGCCAAUGACACUCUGAAGGGAGACAAAGUGACUGUCGUCAGCUUCACCGCUCCUGGUCCAGUUUCAAACCUGACUUUGGUCACAACACACGACUCCCUCAAUGCCACCUGGACCUCUCCUGUGCAUAAUUAUUCACGGUUCAACGUCACGCUCGAGCUGGAUGGCACAAAUGUCACAACAGACAGCAUACAAGAACCCAGGAAGCACUUUGACCACCUGAAGGCUGGUGCCAACUACACAGUGAUCGUCUACAGCGUUAACGGGCGUUUCGAAGGCCCACCAGUAAAAAGCUCCAAAUUCACCCGGCCUUUGCCGCCUACUGACCUCUCCAUCCCUUUUUUCGACAAACAGCAAAUCACGUUACAGUGGAAGGCCCCUGCCAACACAGCAGCAGUCACAUACUCUGUCAAGAUCAGCUCCAGCUUCUGGGGCCACAGCUGGUCUUUGACUGUGAAUGAUAAAACCAACCACACGUUUAGUGACUUGAAAUCAGGGACCAAGUACGACUUUGAAAUACAAACGGUGGCGGGUGGCAACUCGAGCAUUGCAGUACUCACGUCUCAUUUUACAGGUGAGACUGUCACACUUGAAAGACCAUAUUUGGAUUGCUUUAGCCCAUUAGAAACAAACGGUAUAAUUUCCUUUACCAUUACAUUUCCCCAAGCAUAGCAUACUUUCAGUUUAAAUUGGCCAAAAAAAAAACUUUUAACAUUCAUGAGAAAAAACCUUUUGGUUGCGUUCCACGAAAGGCCAGCAUGUGAGGUUUGAGAGGCAGCUGUUCAAAAGCAUUGCAUUUACUUUGAGGCUGACUCUGAUAUUCAGCUCACACACCUCACAAGUGCUUCUGAGAUUUAAACUCAAAGCUGUUUUUGACACUAGCUUGGCGUUUGAAUUUCUGCUAAACUUAUAAAUCAAAUCUGCUUUCAUUAAACCUGAUUAUCAAGGAAAAUUGUAAGAAGCAUUACGCCCUCUGACCGCAAAAAAGGCCUCCAAACAAGUGAGCAACAGCUUUUCUGGUUAUCAGUUGCAUCUGGUGGACGUUUUGUCCUGCGAAACUUAACAGGUUUUUCCAAGCACCUGGACUUUCUGUAUAUUUUAUCCUAUAUGUGUCACUUCUAAUUUAAUUUCACCCCAGUCCGAUCUAGGUCUGACAAAGGUCUGACUAGCCACUGUGGACGUAGACAUAAAUAAUCACUUUGCAUCUUACGUGGACCUGAAAGAAACUUUGUCCCUUUUUCAAGCCACCAACGUUGUCUGAGGGGGUGUGGUGGGAGGUGAUGGAGAGCUGACUGAGUUCAAAUUCAGGCUGUCGUAGAUAACAGUAUUCCAAAGAAAAGAUUAAGGAACUGUGUCUAUAUAAAAUACCAAAUCCAUUGAAGGAAGUUCACCAGAAGUCCUUUUACAGCGUUUUUAUGACUGUUGCAGAGGAAAGGGAGGUCAGUCUGUCCAUGUUGUGCUCUUCAGCAGAAUUUCUCCUCUGUGACAAAAACACCACAAGGGAAAGUGUGUUUAAUCAGUUGCAGGCGCAUUUCAACAGCCUGUUGGGGGACA